GACGAGCCGAGCGAACGUUGUUCGGAAUCACUGGGCUUAAAGGGCGCGUAGGCGGGCUGCCGCGUCCGGGGUGAAAUCCCACGGCUCAACCGUGGAACGGCCCCGGGUACGGGCGGCCUCGAGGGGGGUAGGGGCGUGCGGAACUGUGGGUGGAGCGGUGAAAUGCGUUGAGAUCCACAGGAACUCCGGUGGCGAAGGCGGCACGCUGGACCCCUUCUGACGCUGAGGCGCGAAAGCCAAGGGAGCGAACGGG
rnacentral:rRNA from 1 species